rnacentral:lncRNA from 1 species
AUGAAGGCUGCAUUUGUUCAAGGCAGUCAAAUACCCAUUAAAAUUCCUGCUGGCAUUUGCAGGUGGGGAAAGCAAGGGAAUGCAUGUUCCAGAGGGGAAUUUGGUAAUUCCAGAGCAGGGAAGCAAUUCCAGACACAAUUCCUGGUCUGCUGUGUCUCUGAGUUCCCUCAGCAGCCAGGCUGCCCCCAGCUGGGUGGGAUUGCCCCUUUUCUCCAUUUCCCCAUUUCCCCUUUUCCCCAUUUCCCUGCCCUGGGUGGGAUUUACCCAUUUCCCCAUUAUUUCCCCAUUUCCCAAUUUCCCCAUUUCCCAUUUCCCUGUCCUGGGUGGGAUUUCCCCAUUUCCUCAUUUCCUCAUUUCCCCAUUCUCUACCAUGGAUGGGAUUUCCCCAUUUCCCCAUUAUUUUCCCACUUCCCCAUUCUCUACCAUGGAUGGGAUUUCCCCAUUUCCCCAUUAUUUUCCCAUUUCCCCACUUCCCCAUUUCCCUGCCCUGGAGGAGCUCCCAGGGAGUGUGGACAUCUCUGCAAGCAGAGGCAAGGCCAGGCUGGAUGGGCUUGGAGCAGCCUGGAAUGGUGGGAUUUAGGAUUUAGGGUCCCCCCAAAGCCCUGGGUGGGAUUUAGGGUCCCUCCAGACCCAGGGAUUCUAAAAAGAAGAGGGAGCAGCUUUGGAAUAUUGAAUUGUUUGGGCACUGGCCAUGUGAUCUGUGGAAUUCCAGCAGCAUGGAAUGGAUGGUGGGCAAAGACAGAGGUUUUAUUUUUAUUUUAUUUUAUUUUAUUUUAUUUUAUUUUAUUUUAUUUUAUUUUAUUUUAUUUUAUUUUAUUUUAUUUUAUUUUAUAUUUUAUUUUAUUUCUCUAUGUCAAACCCCUGAGCCAGGCCCUGCUGUUGGGUACUCUCAGCUCCCUGGAGAGCUCCAGACUGCCCUUGGUGUGCCAGGCAGGGAUCAGCCUGCACAGAGAAGGGGAAAUGGCUCUUGGUUCCCUCAGCUGUGCAAACAGUGCCCAUUUCCCUGUCCUGAUUUGCAGUUUUUCCCCCAGGAAUGCCUUUGCCUGGAUUCUCCCUUUCCCAGGGCUGCCCUGCACAGGUGGAGCUGCCUCCUCCCCACCCUGUCCUGCUCACUGCUUUUCCUGGUGA